UCCCAUCCCGGCAUCUUCAGAAUUUCAUCGAACAUAGACGUAUCUCCGCGAUCAUUAAUGGACGUUGAUGAAAGAAAAUCAUACCUGUUCUGGUCUUCCUCGUCCACAAGAGACAUGAGCAAACGUGGUCGUUUCGACGAUGCUGGUGAUUCAAGGAAACGAUAGGUAAAAUAGCUGGAGGAGAUUACGGAAUACCAGUGUUGUGAGACGCGCAUUGCCCUCGUCACCUGUUUCACU